rnacentral:lncRNA from 1 species
UUUUUUUUUUUUUUUUUUGGUAGGUUACUUCUUUAAACAAUAUAUAAGAAGCUGUAUAUUAAGUUAUCUCCAGAACUUUUAUUAUUUAUUUUUAUUUUAUUUUAUUUAAAGACACAUUUAUUCAGCGUCAUGAUCAGAGUAUUACAUUUAGCAAUCACAGCAUGAGUGCAAAAAAAAAAAAAUCUACAUUAAAACCCUUUGUUGGAAUGCCUUACACUUUCCACAGAACAAAACUAAAAUAACCUGUUAUACAAUUAGUUAGAAAUAUAGUCCUCGAGUUUUUUGCCCAUACACAUGAGUAUUGUCUAAAACAUGUCUUCUUUGCAGCAGCUGGGCCCUGCCUAGCCAAGCUGUGCCUGGCUGAGUUCACAAAUCUGUUGUAACCUGUAGCUUCUCUGGCUCUCCUCUCCUGCUACGCUUUGUUUCCUGGCAGUAAUGAAAACCUUCUGCCACUGCCAUAGUUGCUGCUGCUGCUGCCGCCAUAGCCACCUUGGUUUUGUGGUUUGGCAAAGUAUUGGCCUCCACCACCAUAGGGGCCAGAGCUUCUGCCUCCAAAAUUUCCUCCUUUUAUGGGUCCAAAAUUUGAGGAUUGAUUGUUGUAACUGCCAAAAUCGUUAUAGCUUCCGCCACCUCUGGAGCUGCUUCCAUCAUUACCAAAUCCGUUACAGCCAUCCCCACUGCUACCGUAUCCACCAGCACCUCAACUGCCACCGAAGCCACCUCAACCACUGAAGUUCCCUCCAAGACCAAAGUUGUCAUUCCCACCAAAACCACCUCCACGACCACCACCAAAGUUUCCAGAACCACUUCGGCCUCUUUGGCUGGACGAAGCACUAACCAUCUCUUGCUUCGCUAGGGCUUUCCUUACUUCACAGUUGUGGCCAUUCACAGUAUGGGAUUUUCGAAUGACAAUCUUGUCUACAGAGUCAUGGUCAUCAAAUGUCACAAAAGCAAAACCUCUCUUUUUGCCACUGCCUCGGUCAGUCAUGAUCUUAAUCACUUCAAUUUUCCUAUACUGUUCAAAAUAAUCUCUUAGAUGAUGUUCUUCAGUGUCUUCUUUAAUGCCACCAACAAAAAUCUUUUUCACAGUUAAGUGGGCACCAGGUCUUUGAGAAUCUUCUCGUGAGACAGCCCUCUUUGGUUCCACGACACUUCCAUCCACCUUGUGUGGCCUUGCACUCAUGGCUGCAUCCACCUCCUCCAUGGUGGCCCACGUGACAAACCCAGAGCCUUUGGAGCGCUUGGCGUUGGGGUCUCUCAUUACCACACACUCUGUAAGCGUCCCCCAUUGCUCAAAAUGGCUCCUCAGACUCUCAUCGGUUGUUUCGAAGCUCAAACCUCCAAUGAAGAGCUUCUGCAGCUGCUCAGGCUCUUUGGGAGACUCUGACUUAGACCUGACGGUGGUGGGAGAGGAGACUUUAACGAUGCCUACUCGGCGGCAUCCAGGGGCCUCUCCAGAACUUUUAAAUAAGUUUAAUUAUCUGGGGGCAGAAAAAGUUAACAUAGCAGUCCUAACUUAAAAAGUUUAGGUCCUGGGGUGCGGGGGUGUGCCUGGGUGGUUCAGCUAGUUAAGCAUCUGCCUUCAGCUCAGGUCAUGAUCUUGAGGCCUAAUUGAGCUCAGUGUCUGGCUCCCUGCCCAGCAAGAACUCUGCUUCUCUCUCUCCCUCUGCUCCUCCUCACCACUUCUGGUGUGUGUGUGUGUGUGUGUGUGUGUGUGUGUGUGUGUGUCUCAUGAAUAAAUAAAUAAAAUCUGUAAAAAAAAUAUAAAAAUUAAAAAAAAAAUUAUUUGAGAGAGAGAGAGGCAGAGACACAGGCAGAGGGAGAAGCAGGCUCCAUGCAGGAAACCCGAAGCGGGACUUGAUCCCAGGUCUCCAGGAUCAAGCCCUGGGCCGAAGGCAGGCGCUAAACCACUGAGCCACCCAGGGAUCCCCUAUUUUUUUUUUUUAAGUUAAAGUCCACCCUUUGCUGGCAUCUGGGAACAUGAAUUUCAGGAAGGUUCCACUGUUAACUGGUAUAAGGGGCUCACAGUAUCUGAACUGUACAGACAAUAUAAUUUCUGCAAGCCCCUGUUUUUCUUCUAAAAAUCUGAAAUUUGGGUAUGUGCCUGGCAGAGGGUGCCUAUAUAAUCAGGUCCCAGUGAAAAUCUUGGGUGUUUAGUCUCUAAUGAGCGUCCCUGGUUGGCAACAUUCCCCACAAUUUGUCACAAUUUGUUUAAGGAAUUAAACACAUCUUGUGUGACUCCACCAGAAGAGGAAUCUUCGAAGUUUACUUACAUCUGAUUUACCUGGGACUUAUCCCCAUGUACCUUUUCUCUUUGCUGGUUAUGCUCCAUACUCUUUCACGAUAAUAAAUCAUAACCAUGCAUAUGACUACAUGCUGAGUCUUGUGAGUUCUCCUAAUGAAUUCCCAAAACUCCGAGCAGUCUUGAGGACUCCCAACAGAGUCCCCUGAUCUACUUUUACAAGAAUUACUUAAUUUGAAGAUUAGUUAUUUGCCCCUUAAGAUAGGAAAUGACUUCUAAAUGCAUUAGUAAUGAAAAUUUAGGGAUUCCCUAAGCAUUGUCAAUCAAAUGUACACCAAUUGAUUUUAACUGUAACCUAUGAUUUUGGUUACAGUGGUGUGACCAAUGUUACAAAGUGUUGGUAGGAAAUUCUCUUUUAGCUAUUGUCAAAAUGUUUUUUUUUUUUUAAGAUUUAUUUAUUUAUUUAUUUAUUUGUUUGUUUAUUUAUUUAUUUAUUUAUGAUAGACAUAGAGAGAGAGAGAGAGAGAGAGAGAGAGGCAGAGACACAGGAGGAGGGAGAAGCAGACUCCAUG